CACACAUAAGAAAACUCUUCGCAGAAAGGACAUUGCGUAAAAUUUCCAACAAUUGUUGGCCAUUGAGGAAAAGUCGUGCCAAGAACUCACCAGGAGGAGGUGUUGCAAGCCCAAAAGGACUAGUAGGCGGAUUGUAUGAGGCUUUUCCAGCUAUGUGCUUUACAAUGUUGUAAGGCAAGCAAUGCGGGCAGGACAUUCGUUCAGCUGGGUUGAAUGCCAGAGAUUAUUGUUAAAGUUUUGAGCUCUUAGCACCCAUUGACAUGCAAGUCAUGUGUCAUAUAAUAGAGGACGUCGCUUAACAUUGAUAGACCCAAACAAGACAAAUACUUCCCGUGCCCAUACUUGAGUGGCUUUUGGGGUAAGGGCCUUCAUAUGUGUGUGUGUGUGUGUGUGUGUGGGAGUUAGUAUGGCGACUGUGUUUACUAACAUGACUCUGGUGCUGCCAUGGCUUGUAACCCCACUCGACAUAUUUUAUAUUUUCGGCUAUAAAUUCACUUUAGUUACGGUUCGCAUACAUUGCAAAUCCAACAGCGACGAUGAUGAUGACGAUGGUGACAACAAAUUCACAAACAAUUGGCAAGUGAACAACUUGAAGGACCACCACAAUCAAGGCAGUUGAAGAGAAUGAAGAAAUUGAAAAUUCCAAUAAAGCGUAAAAUUUAUGAUUGAAAAAUUGAAUUUAAAAACAUUA
rnacentral:sRNA from 1 species